AUGUUGUGUUGUUGCAAGACGACAUCCCUGCAUGGAAUCAGUUGUUGUUGCAAAUUUGUUGAAGGAUUUGUUGUUGUUGUUGUUGUUGUUGUUGUUGUGCUUGUUGCUGCGAAAUUGGUUGUUGUGGUUGCGGAUAUUGUGGUUGCGGUUGUGGAUAGGGUUGUUGUGGUGGAAAUGGUUGCGGCUGCGGAUAUGGUAGUUGUGACGGAAAUGGUUGCGGCUGCGGAUAUGGUUGUUGUGAUGGAAAUGGUUGCGGCUGCGGAUAUGGCUGUUGUGGUGGAAAUGGUUGUUGCUGCCCUGGAAAUUGUUGUUGUUGCACCAAUGGAACUUGCUCUUGUGGUUGUUGCUGAGAUGGAUUUUGCGGCUGCAAUUGUGGCACUGGAACUCUAA
rnacentral:rRNA from 1 species